UGCCAGCAGCCGCGGUAAUACGAGGGGAGCUAGCGUUGUUCGGAAUUACUGGGCGUAAAGGGCGUGUAGGCGGUACCAUAAGUCAGACGUGAAAGCCCUGGGCUUAACCUAGGAGGUGCAUUUGAUACUGUGGAACUAGAGAUCGGGAGAGGAAAGCGGAAUUACGAGUGUAGAGGUGAAAUUCGUAGAUAUUCGUAAGAACACCAGUGGCGAAGGCGGCCAACUGGACGAGUACUGACACUGAGGUACGAAAGCGUGGGUAGCAAACAGGAUUAGAUA
rnacentral:rRNA from 1 species